AUUGAACGCUGGCGGCAGGCCUAACACAUGCAAGUCGAGCGAGCGGCGGACGGGUGAGUAAUGUCUGGGAAACUGCCUGAUGGAGGGGGAUAACUACUGGAAACGGUAGCUAAUACCGAAUAUCAUCGGAUGUGCCCAGAUGGGAUUAGCUAGUGGGUGGGGUAACGGCUCACCAAGGCGACGAUCCAUAGCUGGGCUGAGAGGAUGACCAGCCACAUUGGAACUGAGACACGGUCCAGACUCCUACGGGAGGCAGCAGUGGGGAAUAUUGCGCAAUGGGCGCAAGCCUGAUGCAGCCAUGCCGCGUGUGUGAAGAAGGCCUUCGGGUUGUAAAGCACUUUCAGCGGGGAGGCGUUACCCGCAGAAAAAGCACCGGCUAACUCCGUGCCAGCAGCCGCGGUAAUUC
rnacentral:rRNA from 1 species